GAACGCACAUAGCCAGGGAGGCGGAAGCAGGCAGGGGCUGCAUCCGGCUGCCUGGGGUGGGCAGGCACUCUCUGUUCCAUGCCACACAGAGAGUCCCCAAGGCCUUUCUGAAAAGCUCUUCCCAGCCCUUCCGUGAUAAACAACCUGCUGUCCCCGGCUCCGGGCGGGAAGAAUCUAAGGGGAGACGCUCCUCCGUUAGUCACGCAAGCUUGCCUGGGUGGUUAGCACAGUGAAGCCGUCAAGCCACUAGGCAGGAAGGGCGGGAGCUGGCGUUUCAAGCACCGCUGCCCACCCGAGGGAUGUGCAGGGUAGCAACAGCCCACGCCGGCGGUGGGGAGCAGCCCAGUCACCCACAGGAGCUUGUGAGGCCCGAGGAGUGUCCGUGUGGCAAGGCCCCUGCCCCAGCUUUUCAUUUAUGAAACAGAGCGUGACCUCCAGAACUCACUGGGAUUCUGUAUGACGGAGCUCCCCGCGUUGGGCAAGCAGGGUGACCCCGUCCUCCAUCAUGGCUCUCUCACUGUGACGCCGACCCUCGGUCCCCACGCUCGGCUUGCAGUAGAACGUUUCCUCUCUCCAGAUGAGUCAUUGCCUUCCUGAACAAACAGUGAGGAAACCCAGGGGAGGUGACCCCUCAGUGAAUGUAUCCUACAGAAGAGCUGGACCUGGAACUCUGCUUGAGCAAGCCAGUGUAAAAAUUACAACAGCUUACUGAGCCCUGUGCAGAAGCUGAUAUUGAGAGCAUGGAGGCUUCCUGCUAAAGGCCAGCAUCAGCUUGUCAGCCACACAGGUGAGGCUGGGAGAGGAUCCUCAGUCCUGAUCAAGACUUCAGAUGAGAUCACAGCCCUGGCUGACAUCUGACUGCAACUUCGUGAGAGACCCUGAGCCAGAGCCCCCAGCCCAGCCACUCCUGAAUUUCUGGUCCACAGAAACUGUAAGAGAUGUAAAUAAAUUAUUAUUGCUGCUUUUAAGCCACUAAA